rnacentral:rRNA from 1 species
GACGAACCGUGCUAACGUUGUUCGGAAUCACUGGGCUUAAAGGGCGCGUAGGCGGGCAUGCAAGUCAGGGGUGAAAGCCCACGGCUCAACCGUGGAAGUGCCUUUGAUACUGCGUGUCUUGAGCGAGGUAGGGGCGUGCGGAACUUCCGGUGGAGCGGUGAAAUGCGUAGAUAUCGGAAGGAACACCGGUGGCGAAAGCGGCGCGCUGGACCUCUUCUGACGCUGAGGCGCGAAAGCCAGGGGAGCAAACGGG